rnacentral:rRNA from 1 species
AUUGAACGCUGGCGGCAGGCCUAACACAUGCAAGUCGAGCGGAUGAAGGGAGCUUGCUCCUGGAUUCAGCGGCGGACGGGUGAGUAAUGCCUAGGAAUCUGCCUGGUAGUGGGGGAUAACGUCCGGAAACGGGCGCUAAUACCGCAUACGUCCUGAGGGAGAAAGUGGGGGAUCUUCGGACCUCACGCUAUCAGAUGAGCCUAGGUCGGAUUAGCUAGCUGGUGGGGUAAAGGCCUACCAAGGCGACGAUCCGUAACUGGUCUGAGAGGAUGAUCAGCCACCUUGGAAGUGGGACACGGACAAGGGUCCUAAGGGAGGGAGCAGUGGGGAAUGUUAGGCAGUAGGCGAAAGCAUGGCCCAACCGUGGCGCGUGUGUGAAGAAAGUGUUGGGAUUGUAAAGCACUUUAAGUUGGGAGGAAGCGCAGUAAGUUAAGACCUUGCUGUUUUGACGUUACCAACAGAAUAAGCACCGGCUAACUUCGUG